GACGUAGGGAGCAAGCGUUGUCCGGAAUUACUGGGCGUAAAGUGUGCGCAGGCGGCGUCGCAAGUCGAGUGUGAAAGCCCCGAGCUUAACUUGGGAAUUGCGCUCGAAACUACGAUGCUGGAGUGUGGCAGAGGAAGGUGGAAUUCCACGUGUAGCGGUGAAAUGCGUAGAGAUCGGGAGGAACACCAGUGGCGAAGGCGGCUACCUGGACCAGCACUGACACUGAGGCACGAAAGCGUGGGGAUCAAACAGG
rnacentral:rRNA from 1 species